rnacentral:rRNA from 1 species
AGACCCGAAACCCGGUGAUCUAGCCAUGGGCAGGUUGAAGGUUGGGUAACACUAACUGGAGGACCGAACCGACUAAUGUUGAAAAAUUAGCGGAUGACUUGUGGCUGGGGGUGAAAGGCCAAUCAAACCGGGAGAUAGCUGGUUCUCCCCGAAAGCUAUUUAGGUAGCGCCUCGUGAAUUCAUCUCCGGGGGUAGAGCACUGUUUCGGCAAGGGGGUCAUCCCGACUUACCAACCCGAUGCAAACUGCGAAUACCGGAGAAUGUUAUCACGGGAGACACACGGCGGGUGCUAACGUCCGUCGUGAAGAGGGAAACAACCCAGACCGCCAGCUAAGGUCCCAAAGUCAUGGUUAAGUGGGAAACGAUGUGGGAAGGCCCAGACAGCCAGGAUGUUGGCUUAGAAGCAGCCAUCAUUUAAAGAAAGCGUAAUAGCUCACUGGUCGAGUCGGCCUGCGCGGAAGAUGUAACGGGGCUAAACCAUGCACCGAAGCUGCGGCAGCGACACUGUGUGUUGUUGGGUAGGGGAGCGUUCUGUAAGCCUGUGAAGGUGUGCUGUGAGGCAUGCUGGAGGUAUCAGAAGUGCGAAUGCUGACAUAAGUAACGAUAAAGCGGGUGAAAAGCCCGCUCGCCGGAAGACCAAGGGUUCCUGUCCAACGUUAAUCGGGGCAGGGUGAGUCGACCCCUAAGGCGAGGCCGAAAGGCGUAGUCGAUGGGAAACAGGUUAAUAUUCCUGUACUUGGUGUUACUGCGAAGGGGGGACGGAGAAGGCUAUGUUGGCCGGGCGACGGUUGUCCCGGUUUAAGCGUGUAGGCUGGUUUUCCAGGCAAAUCCGGAAAAUCAAGGCUGAGGCGUGAUGACGAGGCACUACGGUGCUGAAGCAACAAAUGCCCUGCUUCCAGGAAAAGCCUCUAAGCAUCAGGUAACAUCAAAUCGUACCCCAAACCGACACAGGUGGUCAGGUAGAGAAUACCAAGGCGCUUGAGAGAACUCGGGUGAAGGAACUAGGCAAAAUGGUGCCGUAACUUCGGGAGAAGGCACGCUGAUAUGUAGGUGAAGUCCCUCGCGGAUGGAGCUGAAAUCAGUCGAAGAUACCAGCUGGCUGCAACUGUUUAUUAAAAACACAGCACUGUGCAAACACGAAAGUGGACGUAUACGGUGUGACGCCUGCCCGGUGCCGGAAGGUUAAUUGAUGGGGUCAGCGCAAGCGAAGCUCUUGAUCGAAGCCCCGGUAAACGGCGGCCGUAACUAUAACGGUCCUAAGGUAGCGAAAUUCCUUGUCGGGUAAGUUCCGACCUGCACGAAUGGCGUAAUGAUGGCCAGGCUGUCUCCACCCGAGACUCAGUGAAAUUGAACUCGCUGUGAAGAUGCAGUGUACCCGCGGCAAGACGGAAAGACCCCGUGAACCUUUACUAUAGCUUGACACUGAACAUUGAGCCUUGAUGUGUAGGAUAGGUGGGAGGCUUUGAAGUGUGGACGCCAGUCUGCAUGGAGCCGACCUUGAAAUACCACCCUUUAAUGUUUGAUGUUCUAACGUGGAC